CCCUUCUAAAGCACUUUUUAACUGCAGUACUCUGCAUUCACACUGUAACUUGUGAGUCAGUUCACGAUCAAGUUGCGCUUCUCAAAAAACGACAUUUUUGAAAAAUUGCAAACUAUUUCUUUUUUAUAUUUCAGAUAGUUGUUCAUGAAAUUUUAAAGCCACCCACGAGGUUAAGCCUUAUAUAUAUAUUAACCCUUUUUAAAUAUCACCCAUAUCAAAGCUUUCCUAAAUAAAUGAUGAGAUAUAUAUCUCUCUUUUUUUUGACACCCCAGCAGAAUCAAUUAAGCAUGGAAGGGAAGGGAUCUCUGGGAGGACCGUGGGUUUGGAGAGGCCUUGAGCCCGAGCUUUGGACGCUCUGGAGGUGGGAUAUCCAGCGGAUAUGCAUAAACGGACUGGAGAGGAUGAAAGCUGUUCAGCAGAUAAAGCCAUAGCAGCCUGUCGGAAUCCAGCCACGCCGGCCCUGAUUUAUGACCAACUCAGUCAAACUCCCUACCACUGUACCUGACAAACACAAAAGGUCUGCUCCAUCACACUGAACCUGAGGACACAUCCAGCAGCACUCUGAUGUUCCCUGCUCUCCCAACAUUAAAAAGUCUGGAUAAAAGGUAAGGAAUAGGCUUUAUUAACUUUAAAUAUGCAUGAUGUUUCUGAGAAAAGUGCAGCACGGCAUCCAGAAACGUCCAAAAGCUUGACUACUUAUUUCUUCAUAUUUCCCCCCCGCUCUUCCUCUCUCCUUCGUAAAAAAAAAAAAAAAAAAAAA